rnacentral:rRNA from 1 species
GCUCAGGAUGAACGCUGGCGGCGUGCCUAAUACAUGCAAGUCGAGCGAAUGGAUUGAGAGCUUGCUCUCAAGAAGUUAGCGGCGGACGGGUGAGUAACACGUGGGUAACCUGCCCAUAAGACUGGGAUAACUCCGGGAAACCGGGGCUAAUACCGGAUAACAUUUUGAACCGCAUGGUUCGAAAUUGAAAGGCGGCUUCGGCUGUCACUUAUGGAUGGACCCGCGUCGCAUUAGCUAGUUGGUGAGGUAACGGCUCACCAAGGCAACGAUGCGUAGCCGCCCUGAGAGGGUGAUCGGCCACACUGGGACUGAGACACGGCCCAGACUCCUACGGGAGGCAGCAGUAGGGAAUCUUCCGCAAUGGACGAAAGUCUGACGGAGCAACGCCGCGUGAGUGAUGAAGGCUUUCGGGUCGUAAAACUCUGUUGUUAGGGAAGAACAAGUGCUAGUUGAAUAAGCUGGCACCUUGACGGUACCUAACCAGAAAGCCACGGCUAACUACGUGCCAGCAGCCGCGGUAAUACGUAGGUGGCAAGCGUUAUCCGGAAUUAUUGGGCGUAAAGNGCGCGCAGGUGGUUUCUUAAGUCUGAUGUGAAAGCCCACGGCUCAACCGUGGAGGGUCAUUGGAAACUGGGAGACUUGAGUGCAGAAGAGGAAAGUGGAAUUCCAUGUGUAGCGGUGAAAUGCGUAGAGAUAUGGAGGAACACCACUGGCGAAGGCGACUUUCUGGUCUGUAACUGA